CUGUAGCACAUCUUCUUUAUCCAGCCUGUCAUUAAUUAGGUCAAGUUUUGGCAAUGUUGUUCAAAACUUCUGUGUGCUUACUGAUAUUUUUCUACCUAUCAAUUACAAAGAGAAGGAUGUUAAAAUAUCCACCUGUGAAUGUGGACUUGUUAAUUUUUGCUUUAUAUAUUUUAAAGUUCUAUUAAUGGGUGCAUGCAUGCCUGGGACUAUUAUGUUUUCUUGAUUCACUGAUACCCCAUCUGGUUAAUCUGGCUGGGUUGAUAUCAAUCCCUUUAGCACUUUUCUCUUGUGCCAGUCAAAUUCUCCUAGGUGAGUAACUUUGAGAUUUUAAUAAGGAUUUCUGUUCCUAUCUGUGAUGAGUGCUUCCCAGGGAUGGACCUCUUACCCUCUCAAAUAAGCCUCUGUCUUAUAGUCUCAAGGACAAAGUUGAAGUCUUCUGCAGAAGUGGGAAAGGAACAGUGAGAAGGUCAUGUGGUAGCUCUUGCUGAUUCUUAAACAUCUUCUGAUUUUAAGCCCUACCUUUAUCUCUAUUUUUAAAGGUACCCAGUGCUAUAAAUUCAGCAUUGUGGGAAGAGGUGAUAAAGAACAAAUCAGAUUGCUUCUAAGUUUCCAAAAUUUUGUUGCAGAGUUGAGGACUAUAUGUAAAGGGGAUAGUGGCCCAAAUUAUAGAAAGUAGGAGAUUAUUGGGGUUUAUAGUUCAGUUGCUGCUGAAAUUCUAACAUCAUAAAUUAAUUCUUCCUUUGAGUAUUCAUUUAUUCAUUUAUUUGUUAAAAAUUUCCUCAAUUUCCAAAGGAUUCACACCAGCAAAUUAAUUUUUUAAUUUAAAUAUCUCUUUUAAAUGUAGAUCACCCUGUGAAGUGUAAUACAUUGACCUCCCCAUCAGUCAUUCACAUGAUAUUGUAAAAAAAAAAAUUAAUCAGAUCUGUCUAACAAAUAUAUGAGAACCUUCUCCCUCCACUAAGGCUUGGAGUGUGGGUAAGGAAAUGCAAAAAAGCCAAGGUGGGUCUGCUUCUGAGCAUCGUAAGCCUACAGUGUGGGGACCUAGAGCAUUUGGGGAAAAGAGUGCUAUGAGGUCACGGGGAAGGAAGAGAAUUGACAAGAUGCAGAGUUUUAUCAGAAGUUGGACAUGAAGAGAAAAAGGAAAGAAUUUGAAGGUAAUACUAAAGUUUCGAGAACUUAUCUGCUGUUAAAAUGGUAAUACCUAAACUCCUCUUUGAAAGCUGUAUGCAGAUGUUCUGGAGAAUUACAUAUUUUUCUAAAAUGGAAUUUUUUCUCUGGGCUCUUAAAAUAUAGUACAGAUUAAUCUUGCUUUCUUAUGUUGUUUAUCGGAAGUUAUUUGUAAGUUACCAACUUUUUUCUAAAUCAAAUUCUUUCAUAGCAAUUCAUCUUGUAAAUUUAUAAAUGUUCUAUGUUACUUAUUGCUUAUUAUUUUUUUGACUCUUCAGGCUCUCUCUCAAGUAGCUAACAUGUUUGGCAGUUAGAUGUACUACAAAGCCAAUAAUUAAGAAAAAGUAAUUACUUUGCAUUGCCUUGAUUUUCUCCUAGAGUAUUUAUGUUGUAUGCUGGCCUUUUUUCUUAUACUCAAAUAGUACCAAUACAAAUAAAAAAUUGUAAUUCAUUUUCUCAUUUAAAAUAUUUUUAUUUUUAGAGGUCAGAUAGAUCCUGUUUCUAUACUUUGAAAAAAUUUGUGAAUACUACCCAUGGAAGGUUUUUAGAGAGGACGUUUUGAAAUGCAAUUAAAUUGGGUACAUGCGUUGCUCAUAAUACUGGUGGUGUGAGUUCAGCUUACCUGGAGGUAGUCUUCUAGACUAACAGGUUUUUCCGUUGUUACCUGUGUUCCUAUGGAAACUGGCCUCUCUUGUAUUCUGUCUCUCUCUCUUUUUAUCACUUUAGAAACAGGUUACAGAAGCAAUGGCCAGGAGGAAACAUAAAAUAUUCAUACAGCCACUACUUAGGAGCUUCAGCUAACAUACUUACAGGUGUAUAUUUUCCCUUAAAGGUUAUGCACACACAUGCACAAACCCCCAUGGCAUGUAUUUAUAUAUUUCUAGCAACCCAGACCACAAAGCUGAAAGAAUUCUCUCUGACUUGGUAAGGAAACAGUUCAAUGAUUAUGCUGUAAGAUCUGUCAAAGCAUGUGUGGAAGUGGACCGAAGCAACAUUAACAGAACUGAGAUACAAUGGUGACUUCUUGGGUACGUUGCAGUUCUGGGCCAGGAUGAAUACAUACAUUCCAGCCAUGCUCCUGGUGCCCAUUGAUUAACAAAGAUAGAAAUUGAUUAAAAUCUCAUAAAAUGGAUUAAAAUCUCGGUUCUCAAUCUUUCAGCUCAUCAGUUUGCUGAUCUGUAAGGUGGGAAAAGUAAUAAGAUUUUUGUGAGAUUACUCUGAGGACUCAAGUAGCCUACUACUUACUGCAGGUACAUGCUGAGCUGGUACUAGAGUUCUGCACGAGCACAAAGCAGAUAAUAUCUGGUUUCUGUCUUGUCACAGCACUGAGCAAGCUUGCAACAGCAAAAGCAACAGAAAUAACAACACUUGCAAUACACUUCAAACAACUAUGUUGGAGCCCUUUGUGCGCCCUGAGCCCCAUUGCUUUAAAGGAAGGAGAGGAAGGGACCCACUCUAGUUUCAUAUCUAGGUGGCAGCAGCAGCUACAAAGGACUUCCUCCCAGAGGCAGAAAUGGAAGUUCAGAGAGAUCAAAGGAUAAUUGCUUAAGAUUUACACUGCAGGGAAGUGGCAGACCUGGGACUUGAAUCCAAAUCUGGGUCUCAAGCAGUUUGAGGUGACUAAAACAUGAAUACCUAGGUCCUGCUUGCUCCCUGCUGGAGGGAAAAUGGCUUGUUUACUUCUUGCUACAAAUUGUGCUGAACUCUUAGUCUUGGGUUCCCCAGCCGUAAUCACCAUCUGGACCCACUGUUUCACCUCACAGGACUUGGGGAAAUUUGUGCUACUACUUGACGCUCCUGAUGUUUGCUGUGAUGUGAGUAAUAAAUUGUUCUCUGAUCCAGUGUGUCUUGUCUACUCUUGGGAUGUGUGCAAUUGUCACAAGUCAAUUUGUUUGCUUAGUCUUCUCUUUUGGAGUCUUGCUACUCUUUGCUAUUCUCUAUGAGAUUGAGGGCCCUUCCCUAACGCUGUCCUUUAUUCCCGGCAAUUAUCUAGGCACAUGGUAGUUUGCGUCUUACUUUACAAACAAGGAAAUUGAGAGACUUAGUACAAAGUAGAAAGUGACAGAACUGAAAUGAAAACAUGGUGGAUGUUCUCUCUUAAUCACUACUUUUGAAAGAACAACAACAACA